rnacentral:lncRNA from 1 species
UGGCAGCUUCAGUCAUUGGGCAGCCCUCUCUGCGUGGCUGCGCUCAGUCUGCGCAGUGUUUCAGGGACGGACGCUGCGGCGUAAACACCGCGGAGCUUAGCGGGGAGCAGCAGCGCUGCCGGUCCGCCGGUCCCCCGUUCCCGGUACUUUCUUCCGCCCGCUGCCGCUUUAAGGCGCUGUAGCUCGGGCUGUACCGCCUUAAUAAUGUCGGUGUCAAUCUGGCACGACGCUGAGCCCGAGAAGUGUCCCGUUUUAGCUCAGAGCUAACGAUCGCUAUGUGACUGAAUGGAGGGAGCCGGACCGCGCUGGCGUUAGUUAGCGGAGCUUCUACUCAGCCGUGCCCGGGAGGAACGUCACCAUCCCCGGCCUCGCCGCUGCUACUGUCCCCUGCUUCCCCUGCUCCAGCUGCCCGUCCAAACAAGCAGGAUUUAUGGAAUCCAUCCGGGAGAGGGGAGCAAUAAUAUGUCAAGACGAAAACAGACCAACCCUUUCAAAGUGAAUUGUAGGUAUCGCAGGGCCGUUUCACAUGACCGGGUUCUCUGGCCCACAGCACACUUCAGAGAUGGAGGCUCGAAACGAGUUUGCAGAAAACCCAGCGUGCCACAGCAACGACUCCCCUGACCUCGACGAGCAGGACAACAUAACCGAUGAUAGCGACAGUGACCUGGAUAAAGAGAACUCCUCCAGCUCAUCAGUUGAUGACAACAUGACGAGUAGGGGGAGCCAGUGUUCCUUUCAUGGAGACGUGAAGGAGGUGAGUCUAACUGUUAUGGAGUAAGCCUUAUCGAGUGGUCCAGCAGUCUAAAGCGUUCCCACUUUAAGGUAAAAAAGUCGCUGGUUCGAAUCCUGGUCAUGCAACUUUCCAUCAGCUGCCGGAGCCCUGAGAAUGCACAAUUGGUCACUCCUAGGGUGAUGUGGAUUAGCACAAGGCUGCGUCUGUGAGCUGGUGUAUCAGAUCCGAGUCGCUGCGCUUUGUGUACAGCUAUCCAAAACUCUUCACAUACUUCAAAAACAAACGGCAGAAUGAAUGGGACAGUAAAACAUUUAACAAACUGUAUGACAUAGAGGAAAAAGUUGGACGAACCUACACUAGAAUGGACAGUCGUCUACACCAAACCAUCCUUACAAAAUGUAGAAUCCUCCAUGUUGACGCACCAACAUCUACUAACUAGAGAAGAUGCUCCAACCUGUCAUCUUGGUAAAGACAGACUUACUAUAAAACACAUUUUAAUGAACUGCAAACCACUGCACUCAGAUAGACUGAGGUUUUUUUAUGAAAGUGAGAUGCAAAACUGCAGCACCUGAAAAAAUCAUACAUUUUUAAAUAUAAAACAUCUUUUAUAAUUGCUUUUGUAUAAUUUUUUUAAUGACACAGUUUGAAGAACUGACUUAAGUACGGCCGUAAAAAUGACCCUAGUAUGUCGGCUAUGACCCUAGUGUGUUAAAAACCUACUCAAUCAUUCCUCCGAGUGUUAGCACUGUGAUGUUACUCGGCAAUGCUACAUCAACAGCAGUUUUAAAAUAUAGAGUCUGACUUCAUAUGUGUUGGAGGAGGCAUGUGCUAAUCUUCACCCUUCUUGUGUCUAUGAAAUUAAACUGCAAAGGCCCUUCACUUUGGAACAGCCAUAUUGGAAGGAAUGACCUCGGGUAUAGCUUAGGAUUUGGGGCGCAGCUUCUGUGCCAAAAUAUUUGUGGACACCCUUUUUAAUAAUCUACCUUUAC